GACGAACGCUGGCGGCGUGCUUAACACAUGCAAGUCGAGCGGUAAGGCCCUUUCGGGGUACGACGAGCGGCGAACGGGUGAGUAACACGUGGGUGACCUGCCCUCAGCUCUGGGAUAAGCCUGGGAAACGUGGGUCUAAUACCGGAUAUGACCCCAUGACGCAUGUCGUGGGGUGGAAAGCCUUGUGCGGCUGAGGAUGGGCCCGCGGCCUAUCAGCUUGUUGGUGGGGUGAUGGCCCACCAAGGCGACGACGGGUAGCCGGCCUGAGAGGGCGACCGGCCACACUGGGACUGAGACACGGCCCAGACUCCUACGGGAGGCAGCAGUGGGGAAUCUUGCGCAAUGGGCGAAAGCCUGACGCAGCGACGCCGCGUGAGGGAUGACGGCC
rnacentral:rRNA from 1 species